rnacentral:rRNA from 1 species
AUUCCAGCUCCAAUAGCGUAUAUUAAAGUUGUUGUGGUUAAAAAGCUCGUAGUUGGAUUUCGGCGGGUAUUGGUCGGUUUGAAUUGCUUCAAUACUGACUUUUUUACCCGUGUGUUUUGCCAGAAUUUAACGGGUGAUCUUCGCCGAUUGUCUGUUAGAACUGGCAGGUUUACUUUGAAAAAAUUAGAGUGCUCAAAGCAAGCUUGAUUGCUUGAAUAUUCGUGCAUGGAAUAAUAGAAUAGGAAGUCGUUUCUAUUUUGUUGGUUUUCGGAAAUCGACUUAAUGAUUAAUAGGGACAGUCGGGGGCAUUUGUAUUCAAACGACAGAGGUGAAAUUCUUGGACCGUUUGAAGACAAACUACUGCGAAAGCAUUUGCCAAGAAUGUUUUCAUCG